AUGGCAGCAAUGCUUUCUUGCCAUGGUGCUCAGUCCAGUGACGUGUAUGCACCUGGUACCCGCGCCAGAGCUAAUAGACGGCGUUAUAUCCAGAACGAUGAGGACAUGGAGGAGGAGGUCCAUGAAGAGGAGCCAUCACAUCAAGAGGAGCCAACACAAGAUGAGGAGCAUGAGUAUGAUGCAACACAUCAAGAGGAUCAUGAGUAUGAUGUUGAUGCUCCACAACCAUCACAGGUUACACAACCAACACAAGGCAAUGCCCGCUCUAGGAAAGGCAAAGCCAUAGCUAAGACACCAGGCAAGAAAGGUAGAAAGAAGACAUGGAACACACAAUUCCAUAGUCCGGAGUAUCCUCAUCAGCUUAUCCCAACAGGAAUGCAAAGAUAUAAGGCCAACAUUGAGGCGGAGGAGGAGGCAUACAACGAAGAGGAGGAGGAGGCUAGCGAAGAAGAGGAGCCUACACUUGCAGCACUCGUGAAGAGAGGAAGGAGGAAGUGA
rnacentral:rRNA from 1 species